rnacentral:tRNA from 1 species
GGGGCUGUAGCUCAGUGGCAGAGCACUUGCCUAGUAUGUGUGAGGCACUGGGUUCAAUCCUCAGCAGCACCA